UGAUCCACUACCAGAGGCCCCAUAGAUUAACCAGACCUCCAAACUGGGUCUGGUCUCUUUCUUCAUGAGUUUUAGUGGAAUGUGCUUAUAUCGGCCAAUUGCGGACAGAUGCUGGUAUGGUGAAAUGAAGCUUCUACUCACUGGAAGAUCAACUUCUAAUCCUAAUGGCUAUGAGCCAGAAUCCAUUCCAGGGGCCACUUCUGAGAGUUGCUUCCACCAUGUGAGCUUGGAAUGACAAGGUCAAAGGCUGACAUCAGAUGUCUUCUUGAUCUCUCUUCACUUACUGAAGUAGCUGCGCACUUCUCUGGGAAUCUAAACUAGUCUACUGUCUGUCAUGACUUCUCAGCCCUUGGGCUAAGUUAUCUGGAUACCCUGACAGAGCUCCUGGGCAGCUUCCUUCUUGACUCUCAGAAUACCUCCUGGGAUAGGAUGACCUCCUCCCCUUCUGAGCAUGUGGCAUGUGACAGGCUCGUCAUAAAAUGCACUAAAUGAAUGGACAGAUGCCAUGUCUUUUAAAGAGACAAGAAAAAAAAAAGUGUUGUUCUCAGAGAACCACGCUGUUUAUCUUGUCUCCGGGGCAACGGAGACAAUACUCAUUCAGAGAGAAGGAGAGAAAUGGAGACAGUCAUACAGAAUGGCUCCUGAGUUCCGACUAAGUCACUUAACACAUAAAACAAAUUCGGUUUUCCUAAACAGAAGAGUAGCUACCAAAGCCAAAACCAAAGGGAAUUAAGUUGUUUAUCUGAUUGAAACUGAUCAUGUUGGAGGCUGAGAAGAUGGUGCAAUUGAGGAUUUCUGUGAGCGUUCAACCCUGUUGAUGCUUGCUGCAUGGAGACUUAUCCACUUCUACCUCUGAGAGUCAUGCUGGAGUCCCGGAUUGGUCUUUUCUCUCUUUGGAGAGCUGAGUGAGCUCCAGGGAAUAUACAGGAAGAGCCUUUCCUAUGUUCACACAGGGCAGUGUUAAAGACUAUGUUAGAAUGGGCAUUAGGAGCCUCAACGUAAGUCCACACCAUUCUAAGAAGUUCAAAAGUAUUCUAUUUAUUCUUCACAAUAACCCUAGAGAACAGUCUUAUCCCCUUCUUUUCACAGAUGCAGUACAGAGAGACCGUACUAAGAAGUGGCACAGCUAAGUUCUGUGGCCUUGGUCCCAUAACCAUUGAUGGUGGGACAGAUGUUAUAUAGGCAGGAGAUGGAGGUAAUGCUCCUGGGCAGGGUGUUGUGGAAUACACUUUCCAUCCCAGGUCAGGACAGAGGCCAGCGUAUGAGGCUGUUUUGUGUAAAGCUGUAAGUGUAAAAGAUACAUGGGUGUUUGCCAAACUUAGAACAGGCAUAGACUUGAAACUUCUACUUCUCCCAGUGUUAAAUAGUGAACCAAACAGUUGUUCUUGGCCUAACCCCCGUUUCCUGCUUUUCAGUUGGAUAAAGAUCAAGGCUCUCUUGAUUUAGGAUUACAGGAUCAAGCGACAAGACAAGGCCUGUUCAGCCAUCAGAAGCUUUCCAGCGACACUGCGAGGACCACCUGGGGAAGGGUGCCAUGUCAGUAUCAAUAGCUCUAGAAGAUUCUGUGGAGCAAGGAGCUCCUUCCUGUCUGUGAAUGUCUGCUCAGGCUACCAACUGUGGAGUGGCUGUUACAUCAGGUGUUGUUCUGAACACUUGGGUACAGCAAGAGUGAAACUAUGGCCAAUCCCUGUGUUUAUGGAGCUUACAUGAGGGCUGACUGCUGAACUACAAAUACCAUGCUUAGCUUCUAAAGCUGCAGGCUGGAAAAGCCACACCACGAAACGUUGGCAGAGGUCAGGCUUGUUUUGGUAAGUUCUAUAGAGCCCUGUGAGUUCCAUAUGAAUUGGUGUUCAAAUCUCUCUUAGAUGUUCCACCCCUAUUGCAUCUAUGUAUGGGGGUGUCUGAGAACCAUGAGCUCUUUAUUGAAGACAAUGAAUCUGUCCUUUGUUAUUGAGUUCUUAUGCCUCCUGGAGCAAAAAUUAUCCCUGUUUCCGUGGGGACCAGGCUCUCAGUGCACGUGGUGGUCUGCUUCAGUGUUAUGCACAUUGCAGAUGGGCAGCCCUGUGUUUUCCAUUCAUGCAGUACAGUUUGAGCUAUAUUCAACCGAGGACGGGAACUGUGGAGAGACGCUCCAAGCAAAGGUUUCUCUUUGAUGUUCACUGUGGGCACCGCUUAAAAUCAAACACCGUGCAAAGCCGCCUGCCUUUCUUUGUUCUUGGCUCCUCAAAGAACUGGCUUAUUUAAAUGCCUCCCAAACAAUGAGUGGAUCAAUGAAAAGAUCCCAAGACCAGGACUUAGGAAAACUGGUUUCAGAUCUUGACUCUGUGGAUAAGUAGCUGGAGUCCUGGUGCGCAGUCUCUAGGUCUCUAUCUCUGUCUUAAGUAAGAAGAUAAACUCUCAAUUC
rnacentral:lncRNA from 1 species